rnacentral:lncRNA from 1 species
GUGUGUACCAAAGUGAUCCCUUGUGUAAUAAAAGUUGAAGAAUUACAAAAGUCUCUCUCCAUAUAGCUACAUAUAUUAAACCUUCCAAACUACCUCAAUUUCUUCAUUUAUCAACUAAACAAAAUCUCUUUCCUUCUUACAUUUAAAGGUCUUCUACCUUUUAAAUUGUUUUCCUAUAGGGGAGACUCAAACUCACAACCUCUCGAUUGAAAAUGGGGGUUGCUUACCAUCAGAACAACCCCUCUUAUCAUUUAAUUAAGUUUGAGUAAAAUAUUUGUAAACAUAAAACGGGAAUGGAUCAAUCAACAUCACUUCCCAUAUUAUUAUGUUAAAGACACUAGUAUGAAAAGCAUUAUCAUAAUUAACUGUAUCUGAAGAGGCUGAUUGCCUAUUACCGUUAUUUCUGUUCUUCUAUAAUUUUCAGAGCAUCACAAAUUAAUCUUCUCGUCUUAGGAGUAGUUGAUAAUUAAAGGCUUUUGUUUAGUUCCUGUUGACUUAAUUUUUUUUUUUGCUUCUAAGUUUUCUCUUUAUGGAAAAAUCAUGAUGUUAUUUUUUAAAUAAUUAUCUGAUCACAUAAGUAGGGAUGACAAAAUUGUUCAAAGAAAAUAGUUAACCAUCCAUAUUAUCCACUAAAAAAUGAGUUGAGUAAUGAACUUUUUAAAAACGGAUCAAAUAUGGAUAAGAACCAUAUUAU